rnacentral:rRNA from 1 species
GAGUUUGAUCAUGGCUCAGAUUGAACGCUGGCGGAACGCUUUACACAUGCAAGUCGAACGGCAGCACGGACUUCGGUCUGGUGGCGAGUGGCGAACGGGUGAGUAACAUAUCGGAACGUAUCCAAUAAUGGGGGAUAACUAAUCGAAAGGUUGGCUAAUACCGCAUACGCCCUACGGGGGAAAGCUAGGGACCUUCGGGCCUGGCGUUAAUGGAGCGGCCGAUAUCUGAUUAGCUAGUUGGUGGGGUAAAGGCCCACCAAGGCGACGAUCAGUAGCUGGUCUGAGAGGACGACCAGCCACACUGGAACUGAGACACGGUCCAGACUCCUACGGGAGGCAGCAGUGGGGAAUUUUGGACAAUGGGCGCAAGCCUGAUCCAGCCAUUCCGCGUGAGUGAAGAAGGCCUUCGGGUUGUAAAGCUCUUUCGCAAGGGAAGAAAACUUAGAUACUAAUAUUAUCUGAGGUUGACGGUACCUUGAUAAGAAGCACCGGCUAACUACGUGCCAGCAGCCGCGGUAAUACGUAGGGUGCGAGCGUUAAUCGGAAUUACUGGGCGUAAAGCGUGCGCAGGCGGUUUUGUAAGUCAGAUGUGAAAUCCCCGAGCUCAACUUGGGAACUGCGUCCGAAACUANCAGACUAGAAUAUGUCAGAGGGGGGUAGAAUUCACGUGUAGCAGUGAAUGCGU